rnacentral:rRNA from 1 species
GAUGAACGCUGGCGGCGUGCCUAAUACAUGCAAGUCGAGCGAACGGACGAGAAGCUUGCUUCUCUGAUGUUAGCGGCGGACGGGUGAGUAACACGUGGAUAACCUACCUAUAAGACUGGGAUAACUUCGGGAAACCGUAGCUAAUACCGGAUAAUAUUUUGAACCGCAUGGUUCAAAAGUGAAAGACGGUCUUGCUGUCACUUAUAGAUGGAUCCGCGUUGCGUUAGCUAGUUGGUAAGGUAACGGCUUACCAAGGCAACGAUGCAUAGCCGACCUGAUAGGGUGAUCGGCCACACUGGAACUGAGACGCGGUCCGGACUCCUACGGGAGGCAGCAGUAGGGAAUCUUCCGCAAUGGGCGAAAGCCUGACGGAGCAACGCCGCGGGAGUGAUGAAGGUCUUCGGAGCGUAAGACUCUGUUAUUAGGGAAGAACAUAUGUGUAAGUAACUGUGCACAUCUUGACGGUACCUAAUCAGAAAGCCACGGCUAACUACGUG